rnacentral:rRNA from 1 species
CUCGAGUGGCGAACGGGUGAGUAACACGUGGGUGAUCUGCCCUGCACUUCGGGAUAAGCUUGGGAAACUGGGUCUAAUACCGGAUAGGAACCAUCUUUAGUGUGGUGGUUGGAAAGUUUUUUCGGUGUAGGAUGAGCUCGCGGCCUAUCAGCUUGUUGGUGGGGUAAUGGCCUACCAAGGCGGCGACGGGUAGCCGGCCUGAGAGGGUGUACGGCCACAUUGGGACUGAGAUACGGCCCAGACUCCUACGGGAGGCAGCAGUGGGGAAUAUUGCACAAUGGGCGCAAGCCUGAUGCAGCGACGCCGCGUGGGGGAUGAAGGCCUUCGGGUUGUAAACUCCUUUCGCUAGGGACGGAGCUUUUUGUGACGGUACCUAGAUAAGAAGCACCGGCUAACUACGUGCCAGCAGCCGCGGUAAUACGUAGGGUGCGAGCGUUGUCCGGAAUUACUGGGCGUAAAGGGCUCGUAGGUGGUUUGUCGCGUCGUCUGUGAAAUUCUGGGGCUUAACUCCGGGCGUGCAGGCGAUACGGGCAUAACUUGAGUGCUGUAGGGGUAACUGGAAUUCCUGGUGUAGCGGUGAAAUGCGCAGAUAUCAGGAGGACACCGAUGGCGAAGGCAGGUUACUGGGCAGUU